UUUAAAACACGAGUAGGAGUGUUUUAUCAGAUAUAAAACGCGAGGCGCAGCCGAGCGUUUUAUAUCUGAUAAAACACGACAACGAGUGUUUUGAAUAGCUUAAAAUACGACUACAAAAGAAUACUAAUUAGGAUGAACCAUAAUAUAAUCAUGCUAAUUAAGAUGAACAAUUAUAUAAUGCCACAUGUGUUUUAUCAGAUAUAAAGUCACUCCACGUGACAUAUUAUGGCUGACAUGAUUUGUCACAAGGUUUAUGAAUUAUUAAUGAGUAUUUUAAAUUAUUAUAUAGUGUUGAUUUAUUAGUAAUAAAUCUGUGUAUAUAACAUAUAUAUAAAUUAAUACAACGCAGCAAAUGCGCGC